GCUAAUGGAGGAUUGAUGGAUAGCACUAAAUGCAGUAGAUAUCAUGAAGAAUCCACUGGACCCUCCAAAACAGAAAAGGAGGAGGGUGAGUUAUCUCCCAAUUGUGAUUUUGAGGAGGACAAUUUUGCUGUCUAUGGGGAUAAUGGCUUGCAGGCAUUGCCUAAGGGAAAGCAUAGCAGUGAAAGCAGGCAAAAUGAAUCUGGAAAUGGG
rnacentral:misc_RNA from 1 species